AGGGGUGUAGCUCAGCUGGUAGAGCAGCGGUCUCCAAAACCGCGGGUCGUGGGUUCGAAUCCUGCCGCCCCUG
rnacentral:tRNA from 1 species